ensembl:lncRNA
CUCCGGACCAGGAGACACCAGUUCAGGUGCACCCUCCAGACCAGGAGACACCAGUUCAGGUGCACCCUCCGGACCAGGAGACACCAGUUCAGGUGCACCCUCCAGACCAGGAGACACCAGUUCAGGUGCACCCUCCAGACCAGGAGACACCAGUUCAGGUGCACCCUCCAGACCAGGAGACACCAGUUCAGGUGCACCCUCCAGACCAGGAGACACCAGUUCAGAUACAACUAGUACAGCAAUAGAGAGUAGCUCAGAUACUCUGUCUACGACAGAGGAAAAUGUACCAACAGAGACCAGUAAAGCUACAGCCUCUGUACCAGGAGAAACCAGUUGAAAAGCACUUGUUGAAAAAGUUUGUUAAACAAAAAUGUUAGGCUCUGUACGGGGAUGUUUUGUUUCUCUUAUAUUUAUACAAUUAAUUUCAAGGGUAUUUAAAACCAAAUACCUUUUAGACUUUUAUUUUUGUCAUUUUCUAUUAAAGUAUCUUUACUUUUAGUCAAGUAUGACUUUUGGGUACUUUUUCACCACUGUAUUAUAGCACAUCAACAUAAUGUAUUGUGUUGGUACAGUAUACAGUACGUUUUUUAUACCACCAUACAUUUGGUAUUUUUAGGUGCAUUUGAUGAAGAAAAACAUUUCAUUAAGAGCUUACUUGAUCCUUUACAUGGUGUGAGAGCUGAUACUUUGCAAUAUAAAAA